AGUGGUGAAACCUUCAGAUUAUCCACUUCAGAACACAAACACUUAUUCCCCAGCUGCUGGGAGUAUUGGUGGCUGAUGGAUCUCAGUGGAGUCCCUCUUCAAGACCUGCCCUCCCCGGAAGACAGUAGCCUCACUCAAGGUCACCCUGGCUUUCCAAGGGUCCAAGACCAGGAGGAGGUGUGAGAGUUGUAAGUAAAGAGGAAGAGAAGAACACCUCAGAGACUGAGAGGGUGGAGAGCUCCUGGCAAAAUGAGCUGGGCUUACAGAUUAAUGGAAAUUACCAACCAACUACUUAUUAUUCAUUGCCUGAGGAAUAAAGAUAUCAAGUCACUUCCACUAG